AAUUCUGACUGAUUAAUUAUUAAUAUUAUUAGUCCCCUACAGGUUUUCACCGGAGGGGACUAUAGCUUUCCUCUGCGUCCGACAGUCCGUCCGUCUAUCUGUCUGUCCCACUUCAGUUUUCCAUACUUUUUUUCUUUAUGUGUUUGAGGAAUAAUAUGAAAUUUGCUGAACAGCUUCAAAAUGUCAAACUACAGAUCAAGAUUACACUUUUGUAGCGUCUGGUUGACAUAUUUUCGAGAAUUUUUUAAUGUUCGGGUUCGAUAUUCUUCAUAACAGUGCAUUGUUUUCACAUUUUCCACAAACCGGUAGGGGACGUGUAUUGCUUAUGCAAUACUCUCAGAAUGCUUGUUUCCUGUGUAUUAAUUCGCUUCUUGUGUUUAAUGAUUAGCAGCGUUCACGACCGCUGGUAGACUGCAAGCCCCGGAGGCUUCUACACCUCUAGAAAUUAAGCCCCGCCCUCACCUGAGAUUUACCACGCGGUAAAAAUGUGCAGCCUUUAAGGACAGUCAAAUGUGUGGAAAACAGUAAACAAACAAAAUAAUGGAUGUGCUUUAGCAUAUUGAAAACCAUGUCAAGAAAAGAUCGAAAAAGAGUUAAUCCCAUUGAAGAGUCAAGGAAAUGGAGUGAAAAGAAUAUUGAUCCACCAGGAUUUAAUAUAAGUUUAUUUGAGAACAAAGGCAGAGGAGUCAGAACAACUGUCCGCAGAAAUGCAGGCGACUUUUUGUUAGUGUAUACAGGAAAGGUUAUAACAAAGAAGGAAGGUGAGAACUUGGAAGAAGGGUUCUCAUCUGGCUACAGAUUUUGUUUACAGAGAUUUGUGUGUUGAUGCAUCAGAAGAAGAUGGUAGAUUGGGAAGGCUUGUGAACCAUGGGAGCAAGAAAGAGAUCAACUGCAAAAUGAAAUUAAUAGGGGAAGUGCUAUGUCUUUUUGGAACCAGGUUUUAAAAGAAUAAGUGGAAAAAGAAAACCUAAUGAACAGCAGCUGAGAAAGCAGCAGUUAAGAGGCAAAUGGGCCAGUUUUUAAAUCUAAGGACCCUGCCAAAAAACAUGACUGUGACCUGGCUCUUCAAAAAGAAGAGAGUUUGAAAUAUUGAACCUGGAAACAAGUCAAAGACUUUGUUAGAAAUACAAACUUGAAGCUACUUAAACAGUAGGAUUCAAAAAUGAAAUGUAUGAAGUUUUUAGUGUAAAUUGACUUGUUUCUAUAAUGAAAAGAAAUUUUAUAAUAUUCAGAACUAGAGACAGAUCAGAAAUGUAGUAUAUGUGCAUUGAUUUACUUGUUAGUUUUCUAGAGAGAGAGACAGAGGAGCUUUUGCUUUUGCUUUAAAAGUAAUUUUUAGUAUCUUUAUAAUGAUUUUGAAUAUUCAUUGUAAUAGUGGUUGUCUUAUGAAGAAAUUUUUAUGACAAGUAAAAUAAGGCUGUAAGUUCAGCUGUUAGCCUUCAUGAUACACAUAAACCUGAUAAAAGCCUUUUUAUAGUGACAGACUUGGUGUCUCAUGUAUAUCAUGUUGGACUGCCUAGUGACAUGAAUGCUAAAAAAUUGAUGAAAAUAAUGCCAGAUCUUAGCUGUUAUAUACAUGUAUUUAAUGAUCUUUCCAUAUGAAAUAUUUACUACAUAUAUGUACAAUAUCCUUAAGGAUUUAACCAUUUCAUGCUCUGUUUUGCAUGUACAUGAAGUUAAAAUGAAGGUGAAUUUGGAAUGAUAAAGAUCUACAGCAAGAGCGUAGUUGGCUAAGCUAUUGUUAAUUACGGUAAAUGAAUUCAGUCAAUGUUAUCUAUUUUAUAUUAAGAAUGAAUUUGCUAUGCUUAGUGUUCAAUUAGCUCUU